rnacentral:rRNA from 1 species
GUGGGGAAUCUUAGACAAUGGGGGAAACCCUGAUCUAGCCAUGCCGCGUGAGCGAUGAAGGCCUUAGGGUUGUAAAGCUCUUUCAGCUGGGAAGAUAAUGACGGUACCAGCAGAAGAAGCCCCGGCUAACUCCGUGCCAGCAGCCGCGGUAAUACGGAGGGGGUUAGCGUUGUUCGGAAUUACUGGGCGUAAAGCGCGCGUAGGCGGACCAGAAAGUUGGAGGUGAAAUCCCAGGGCUCAACCUUGGAACUGCCUUCAAAACUCCUGGUCUGGAGUUCGAGAGAGGUGAGUGGAAUUCCGAGUGUAGAGGUGAAAUUCGUAGAUAUUCGGAGGAACACCAGUGGUGAAGGCGGCUCACUGGCUCGAUACUGACGCUGAGGUGCGAAAGCGUGGGGAGCAAACAGGAUUAGAUACCCUAGUAGUCC